rnacentral:lncRNA from 1 species
CCCAAUCAAUCCGAAACAGUGAGAAGCCCAAGAGCAACGAUAUAGAAAAUCGUACAAGCUGGACAAUUUGCGCAAUUGUUGAUAUCUCAUGCUUCACAACUCAUUGAUAUUAAGAUCCAACGAUUAAGAUCAACAUCUAACGAUUUAUCCGAGAGGAAUAUCUACAUGAGAAGUAGCAAAUUUUACAUUAUUGGUUUUUUAGCAGUAUUCCAAGAAUAAUUUUUCUUGAGAGAGAGUUGUGUUUGGGUCAAUUGUUAUAAUUGGGGAUGAAAGGUAUAACAUGGUCGUGUCAGGAACUGCUUGAAUUCUUGAUAUUUAUUGUGCUGAGUGGCUGUGCUAAAAAUAGGUGCAAUUCUUGAUAUAGCUGUGCCUGUAGGGUUCACUAGAUAGAUUGUGGGCUUCCAAC